rnacentral:rRNA from 1 species
GACGAACGCUGGCGGCGUGCUUAACACAUGCAAGUCGAACGGAAAGGCCCUGCUUUUGUGGGGUGCUCGAGUGGCGAACGGGUGAGUAACACGUGAGUAACCUGCCCUUGACUUUGGGAUAACUUCAGGAAACUGGGGCUAAUACCGGAUAGGAGCUCCUGCUGCAUGGUGGGGGUUGGAAAGUUUCGGCGGUUGGGGAUGGACUCGCGGCUUAUCAGCUUGUUGGUGGGGUAGUGGCUUACCAAGGCUUUGACGGGUAGCCGGCCUGAGAGGGUGACCGGCCACAUUGGGACUGAGAUACGGCCCAGACUCCUACGGGAGGCAGCAGUGGGGAUUAUUGCAAAAUGGGCGGAAGCCUGAUGCAGCAACGCCGCGUGCGGGAUGACGGCCUUCGGGUUGUAAACCGCUUUCGCCUGUGACGAAGCGUGAGUGACGGUAAUGGGUAAAGAAGCACCGGCUAACUACGUG